GCUACUGUCGCUCAGUGGAUAGAGCGUCAGCCUAGGAACUGAAGGGUCCCAGGUUCAAUUCCGGUCAAGGGCA
rnacentral:tRNA from 1 species